rnacentral:snRNA from 1 species
CGCAGAAGCGAGAUGGGAGU